CCGUUCCUCUCUCUCUCUGUGUCUUUCUCCCUCCCUCGCCCUCUCCCUGUUUGUCUCUCUCUCUUUCUCCGGGCUGUGUAAGAGGAUCACUUUGUGUCCGUUGCCUUUUUCCGCGGUGCCGCAGACACACAUGGAAGAGAGGAUUGGAUUUGAGGAGAUACUGACGGGGGUGCACAGCUGCAACAAUCCCCUCCAUCUCCACACCGGGACUAAUGCCCCCCACCCCACCUCUCUCCCUGUGUGUUAGACUCUCCCUCUGUCGCACUCUCUCUGCUUUCUGCCUCUCGGAGGGGUGGGGGUGCCAUAUGGGAGCUCAGAAAAAUGGAAGUGGAUCCGGAGAUAGACAAGAGAGGAAUCUGUCAUUCUUGGGCUCGGAUCUCGGGAUCUAUGUGAGAGACGAACUAAAAAUUGACCCCAGGCGGCAUAACCCCCUGAGCAAGACACUUCCAUGAAGGGAGUCCCGGCAACCGUCUGUCUUUCUCCGCACUCGAAGGUAAGACGAAUCACAGCAAAACAACAACGUCCGAAAAAGUCUUUUUCUGUUUGUCUGUCUGUUUUAUUAGCGCGCCGGAGAGGAGGGUGGUGUUUGGGUGUAUGACUGGCUUGUUUUGCUUGCACUUGCGGUAGCAGAGUGAGUCAGUAAAAGUGUCAGACUGCCGUAACAGACGGCCUGCACGAGAUAAUUAGCCUGGAGUCUUUUGGAAGCUGCUCAGCUCGGCCCAGGUGCCCACUGUGCUCAGAAAGAGACCAGACGACCUUUUACUCAGCUCUGUCCCACUGCAGUCACUUAAAACAGUGAUGGAUGUUUCCCUUAACACCCCGCUCCCUACCAGGCCUCGUUCUGCUUUUCUCUCCACCCUCCCUCCCCCUCCUCUCCUCUCCUCAGCUCCAACAUCGCUCUCGCCUUAUUUGUCCCCUCUCCUCUCCUUGUUUUCCAACCAUCCUUCGCCUUUUACAGCCCCCCGUUCCCUCUGUUCCUCCAGAGUGAUGAGAAGGAAGGGGAAGAAGAAAGGUGGUGGUGGUGGUGGUGGGCGGGGGUUGAAUUGAAGUGGAGGGGGCGUUUCUUGCCAGCGCAGAGCAGAGCAGAGUCAAGCGCCCCCUCCCCUCAGCUCCUCAUUAGUAUGCAGCGGCUGUUGCUCAGGUGACAUGGCUGCUAGACUCGGUCCCGACUGCAGGAACAUCAGCAGCGCGGCGGCGAGCGGGAUAGCAGGUAAGGACAAUGAGAACAGGCGGAAGAAAGGGAGGAGAGAGACGGGGAGGGGGGAGCAGGACAGAGACACACAAGGCGAGGGAUGGACGCCUUUUAAGGACUUAACGCCCCCACAAAUACACACACCUUACACCGCUGUAAUGCACACACAUAUAUAUUCAGGUUCAAGUCUAAAGCCAUGACUACAGCGAAGGACAGGACAAGUGUGUGUUUUCUUCAGUUCAAGGAGCUGUCGCUGUCUGCUGUUAUUCUAGUGGAGGUACUGUAGUAUUAAGUGUCUGGGAUCAUGCAGUUUUGUUUGUCUUAAUAAAGUAUUCUUGACGUUAUUCUUCACAUUUGUUCACAAAUAUUUUUUCUUGUAUUUUGACAGAAAUUAUAAUAAUUGUAGAUGUUACAGUUUCUUUUUUUCAUAUUGUAAAUGGAGUGAUUUCAAUAAACGUCAAUGAAUAAUAUCUUCUGUGUUUGGUUAUUUAGAAAUAUAAUGUUUUAUUCCAUGCAAGCAAACAUUGAAGGAAUCCUGCAGUUUCCCCUCAAAACACUUUCAUUGUUUUCACUUGUGAGGUUUUCAUUCCCCUUGAUAUGUAGGAUAUUGGUUUUGUUGCCAAAGGCAACAAAGAGAGUGGUGUAUUAGACAAAUACUCAUACACUGUGUGUGUGUAUGUGUGUGUGUGUGUGAGAGAGACUGAGAGAGAGACAGUGUGUGUGUGUGUGUGUGAGGAAAAGAGAAAACGAGGGUAAGAAAGGGAGGAAAAAGAGUGUGUAGGUGUGUUUUUGUUUGCUCGAUUUGUGUGUGUGUGUGUGUCCUUGUGUCUGUGUUUGUGUGUGUUGGGGGAGCAGUGCGGCCAGGCUGCAGAUAUCAUCCAUCUCCCUGUCACCGGCCCAGGGGCUGCUGGGAAAGUGGCAGACAGCUCCCCGGCUCUGACAACAGAGGCUGCAUCCUAAUUUUCUGACACAGAAUGCUUGAGAAACCUGCGCCGGUCCUCCCUCACCACCCAGUACGGAAAACCAUUAACCCCGCGAUCCAGGAACAAAGCACGGAGCUCAGCCCGGGCCGCCGCUGGCUGCGACACGUAUCAGCAGCUCCCAUCAUGCACCAGGCUACGAGCAGCAACUCUGUGCAUUAACUCCACUUAAUAAAACAUUCAUUCACCUCCAACACUGCUGCGUUAAAGCUCCACAUACUGAGCAAAGCCAUGAAAUGAGUUCAUGUCUUAAGACACAUCUAACCAGGAGGUCGUAUAACUGAUGCAGUGCUUGAUGAAACUGCAGUGAUUUCAUUUGUGACGUGCAUUUUCAAAAUAAAAGUCUUGGCAAUAGCUCUUGUAAGUGGAUUACAUGCUUUCUGGUUAGCCACGACUAAUUGCAUUAUAAAGCUGUUGUCAGACAUUCUAUAGCUUUUGUUACGUGUGCCAGCACUUUUCAUUUCCCAUCUUUCCCAGUGUUUCAGUUUCUCUGGUCUGUGGUCCAAGACAACAAAUAAACGCUGGUAUG